AUUGAACGCUGGCGGCAGGCCUAACACAUGCAAGUCGAGCGGAUGAGUGGAGCUUGCUCCAUGAUUCAGCGGCGGACGGGUGAGUAAUGCCUAGGAAUCUGCCUGGUAGUGGGGGACAACGUUUCGAAAGGAACGCUAAUACCGCAUACGUCCUACGGGGGAAAGUGGGGGAUCUUCGGACCUCACGCUAUCAGAUGAGCCUAGGUCGGAUUAGCUAGUUGGUGAGGUAAAGGCUCACCAAGGCGACGAUCCGUAACUGGGCUGAGAGGAUGAUCAGUCACACUGGAAAUGGGACACGGUCCAGAAUCCUACGGGAGGAAGCAGUGGGGAAUAUUGGACAAUGGGCGAAAGCCUGAUCCAGCCAUGCCGCGUGUGUGAAGAAGGUCUUCGGAUUGUAAAGCACUUUAAGUUGGGAGGAAGGGCAGUAAGUUAAUACCUUGCUGUUUUGACGUUACCAACAGAAUAAGCACCGGCUAACUUCGUGCCAGCAGCCGCCGUAACAC
rnacentral:rRNA from 1 species